GUAAUUUGUAACAGCAGCCCAGGGAAUCCAAGAAAGUAUAGAACAUAAUUCCAAUUAUACUUAAGGCUCUCUCUAUGUUCUAUAGAAAAGAUGGCAUGCAGAAAUGGAUCAAAAUGUUAAUAAUACUUAUCCCUGGAUAUGGAAACAAAGCAUCUCCAGUGUUUACCCACAAAGGUCGGGUCAUGCCAGGUACCUAUAGCGCCGUUGCCCUUCUGCACAUAAUCACCAUUCCUGUGAGUCCUGAAACUGCUGGAGACAUCUUAAUGUGGCCUGAAUUCUCUCGUCAUUUCAAGGUGUCCGUGUUCCAUUUGUUGCAUGGGCUGUGCUGAUUAUGAAACUUUUUUCAUGUUUGAGAUGAUAACAGUGCAUUAGGAGGACUCAAGAUGGCGCUGUGAGAACAACCCAGGAUUGGAGCUCGCGUUGAAUCCGCAAACGGUGAGUCAGAGCUGCAUUUACAGACUGAUCUUUGUUGCCCACAGAACGGGG
rnacentral:lncRNA from 13 species